rnacentral:rRNA from 1 species
GGAGGAAAAGAAACCAACAGGGAUUGCCUCAGUAACGGCGAGUGAAGCGGCAAGAGCUCAAAUUUGAAAGCUGGCUCCUUCGGGGUCCGCAUUGUAAUUUGCAGAGGAUGCUUCGGGAGCAGCCCCCAUCUAAGUGCCCUGGAACGGGCCGUCAUAGAGGGUGAAAAUCCCGUAUGGGAUGGGGUGUCUGCGCCCAUGUGAAGCUCCUUCGACGAGUCGAGUUGUUUGGGAAUGCAGCUCUAAAUGGGUGGUAAAUUUCAUCUAAAGCUAAAUAUUGGCCGGAGACCGAUAGCGCACAAGUAGAGUGAUCGAAAGAUGAAAAGCACUUUGAAAAGAGAGUUAAAAAGCACGUGAAAUUGUUGAAAGGGAAGCGCUUGCGAUCAGACUCGCCUUGGGGGUUCAGCCGGCAUUCGUGCCGGUGUACUUCCCCCAGGGCGGGCCAGCGUCGGUUUGGGUGGCCGGUCAAAGGCCCUUGGAAUGUAACGCCUCUCGGGGCGUCUUAUAGCCAAGGGUGCCAUGCGGCCUACCUGGACCGAGGAACGCGCUUCGGCUCGGACGCUGGCAUAAUGGUCGUAAGCGACCCGUCUUGAA